rnacentral:rRNA from 1 species
AACGAACGCUGGCGGCGUGCCUAACACAUGCAAGUCGUGCGAGAAAGUUCCUUCGGGAGCGAGUAAAGCGGCGCACGGGUGAGUAACACGUAGGUAACCUGCCCCCAGUCUGGAACAACUAGAGGAAACUCUAGCUAAUGCCGGAUGAGACCACGAUCCCUUCGGGGGUUGCGGCCAAAGAUGGCCUCUACUUGUAAGCUAUCGCUGAGGGAUGGGCCUGCGGGCCAUUAGCUUGUUGGUGAGGUAACGGCUCACCAAGGCUGUAAUGGCUAGCUGGUCUGAGAGGAUGACCAGCCACACUGGGACUGAGACACGGCCCAGACUCCUACGGGAGGCAGCAGUGGGGAAUAUUGCGCAAUGGGCGAAAGCCUGACGCAGCGACGCCGCGUGGGUGAUGAAGGCCUGGUCGGUAAGACCUCGUCGUCACGGGGAAGGAAGUAAAGACGAUACGGUAGUAAUAACG